UACGGAGGGUGCAAGCGUUAUCCGGAUUUACUGGGUUUAAAGGGUGUGUAGGCGGGCUUUUAAGUCAGUGGUGAAAUCUCCGGGCUCAACCUGGAAACUGCCAUUGAUACUAUUAGUCUUGAAUUCUGUUGAGGUAGGCGGAAUAAGUCAUGUAGCGGUGAAAUGCAUAGAUAUGACUUAGAACACCAAUUGCGAAGGCAGCUUACUAAGCAAGAUAUUGACGCUGAGGCACGAAAGCGUGGGGAUCAAACAGG
rnacentral:rRNA from 1 species